GAGAACUCCCUGCCUGCAGGCCGAAGAAUCUUUUUCUUACCUUGAGCACUGAGGGAUGAGCAGCAACUUGCCCCUCCCGACGUUCCCGGGGGUUGCCAGGCGGCAGCGUAACUUUCCACGAAAAGGCGGCUCUCGGAUCGCUCCCGGAGCGUGUGAAAACUGUGGCCCCCGGAGCUGGCUGGAGGACCACGGGGCAGCUGGCUGGAAGUAAACCACACGAUCCUCCGAUUGCCUGGGGGAAGACGGGAGCCAACAGGGAUUAUAAACUAAGUUUCUUUUCAAGGUGUGUUUGCUGUGUUGUGUAGAUUUCAGCUACUACAGUAGGUGAAAGUAGACCGAAGUGAACUGGUGUUUGGAAACAACUCUCUCUCUGGCAUCACUGGGAUGUUCUGAUCGUCGCCUGUUUCAGUCGGCCAGCCUUCCUCACCGCACUCACCGGCCCCAUCGCGGAUGUCCCAGUCGAUCACAGACGCGGACCGCGCGGAGGCCGCACACUUGUGGCGCGGUGUGGUGGUCCCUCCGGCACCACUCCCAUACUUGCAUUUUUCUUUGCAUUUUUGUUUGCUAACAUUUAAAGUGUGGAAUUUCGCAUAAACGUCUGUAUUUCCUCUGCUUGAAAAAGGAUGGAGUCUCACUCG
rnacentral:lncRNA from 10 species